UAAUAUAAUAUAAUAAUAUCAUAAUUUUAAUAUCAUAAAAUUAUUUUCUAGCUUUGUUAUCCGCUUUAAGCCGUGGGACGGAUUUAAUUCCUUCGGAUGUAAUCGCAGGACUCAUCUUGUUAAGAGUUCAAGAAAAGCGAGAGCGUCAUGAAUUACAUCGAAUAAAUUUAUCCCCUACUCCAGUACGCACUUCCGACGCAGCUGUAAUUUUUAAAAAUAUGCCAAAAUGGAUGUCCUUGGAAAAUGCAAUUCACUACAUGAUGCUUUCAGAAGCCAUUUACGGAUGGUUAUUUAUGUUAUAUUUACAUAAAUGUUCUGGAUGUUUUUAUCUUAUGAAAAAUUUGACUUGUUGCGCUUGUUUUCG